GCGGGUGUGGCGGAACUGGCAGACGCACUGGAUUUAGGUUCCAGCGCCGCAAGGCGUGGAGGUUCGACUCCUCUCACCCGCACCA
rnacentral:tRNA from 7 species